rnacentral:rRNA from 1 species
GACGAACGCUGGCGGCGUGCUUAACACAUGCAAGUCGAACGGAAAGGCCCUGCUUUUGUGGGGUGCUCGAGUGGCGAAAGGGUGAGUAACAUGUGAGUAACCUGCCCUUGACUUUGGGAUAACUUCAGGAAACUGGGGCUAAUACCGGAUAGGAGCUCCUGCUGCAUGGUGGGGGUUGGAAAGUUUCGGCGGUUGGGGAUGGACUCGCGGCUUAUCAGCUUGUUGGUGGGGUAGUGGCUUACCAAGGCUUUGCCGGGUCGCCGGCCUGAGAGGGUGACCGGCCACAUUGGGACUGAGAUACGGCCCAGACUCCUACGGGAGGCAGCAGUGGGGAAUAUUGCACAAUGGGCGGAAGCCUGAUGCAGCAACGCCGCGUGCGGGAUGACGGCCUUCGGGUUGUAAACCGCUUUCGCCUGUGACGAAGCGUGAGUGACGGUAAUGGGUAAAGAAGCACCGGCUAACUACGUG